rnacentral:rRNA from 1 species
AUUAAACGCUGGCGGCAUGCCUUACACAUGCAAGUCGAACGGCAGCACGGGGGCAACCCUGGUGGCGAGUGGCGAACGGGUGAGUAAAGCAUCGGAACGUGCCCUGGAGUGGGGGAUAACGUAGCGAAAGUUACGCUAAUACCGCAUAUUCUGUGAGCAGGAAAGCAGGGGAUCGCAAGACCUUGCGCUCUGGGAGCGGCCGAUGUCGGAUUAGCUAGUUGGUGGGGUAAAGGCCUACCAAGGCGACGAUCCGUAGCGGGUCUGAGAGGAUGAUCCGCCACACUGGGACUGAGACACGGCCCAGACUCCUACGGGAGGCAGCAGUGGGGAAUUUUGGACAAUGGGCGAAAGCCUGAUCCAGCCAUGCCGCGUGAGUGAAGAAGGCCUCGGUUGGUAAAGGUACGUACUUUUCCGGUU